rnacentral:rRNA from 1 species
UACGUAGGGGGCAAGCGUUGUCCGGAUUUAUUGGGCGUAAAGAGCGCGUAGGCGGCGCGGUAUGUCGUGCGUGAAAUCUCCCGGCUUAACUGGGAGGGGCCGUGCGAAACUGCCGGGCUUGAGGUCAGAAGGGGAAAGUGGAAUUCCGGGUGUAGUGGUGGAAUACGCAGAUAUCCGGAGGAACACCAGCGGCGAAGGCGGCGCACUGGACCACAACUGACGCUGAGGCGCGAAAGCUAGGGGAGCAAACAGG